rnacentral:tRNA from 1 species
GCCUGGGUGGCUCAGUUGGUUGAGCGUCCGACUUCGGCUCAGGUCAUGAUCUCACAGUUCUGGGCUCGAGCCCCACCUCAGGCU